rnacentral:piRNA from 1 species
UGUCAGAAGUUGUUGAUUCAAGCAGUUACC